AGAGUUUGAUCAUGGCUCAGAGCGAACGCUGGCGGCAGGCUUAACACAUGCAAGUCGAGCGGGCGUAGCAAUACGUCAGCGGCAGACGGGUGAGUAACGCGUGGGAACAUACCUUUUGGUUCGGAACAACACAGGGAAACUUGUGCUAAUACCGAAUAAGCCCUUACGGGGAAAGAUUUAUCGCCGAAAGAUUGGCCCGCGUCUGAUUAGCUAGUUGGUGAGGUAAUGGCUCACCAAGGCGACGAUCAGUAGCUGGUCUGAGAGGAUGAUCAGCCACAUUGGGACUGAGACACGGCCCAAACUCCUACGGGAGGCAGCAGUGGGGAAUAUUGGACAAUGGGCGCAAGCCUGAUCCAGCCAUGCCGCGUGAGUGAUGAAGGCCCUAGGGUUGUAAAGCUCUUUUGUGCGGGAAGAUAAUGACGGUACCGCAAGAAUAAGCCCCGGCUAACUUCGUGCCAGCAGCCGCGGUAAUACGAAGGGGGCUAGCGUUGCUCGGAAUCACUGGGCGUAAAGGGUGCGUAGGCGGGUCUUUAAGUCAGGGGUGAAAUCCUGGAGCUCAACUCCAGAACUGCCUUUGAUACUGAAGAUCUUGAGUUCGGGAGAGGUGAGUGGAACUGCGAGUGUAGAGGUGAAAUUCGUAGAUAUUCGCAAGAACACCAGUGGCGAAGGCGGCUCACUGGCCCGAUACUGACGCUGAGGCACGAAAGCG
rnacentral:rRNA from 1 species